rnacentral:tRNA from 1 species
GGUUGUAGAGCUCAGUGGUAGAGUGCAUGCCUAGUCUGCAUAAGGUCAUGGGUUCAAAUCCCUGGUACCUCCA